rnacentral:rRNA from 1 species
UACGUAGGGGGCUAGCGUUGUCCGGAAUCAUUGGGCGUAAAGCGCGUGUAGGCGGUUCGGUAAGUCCGCUGUGAAAGUCGGGGGCUCAACCCUCGGAUGCCGGUGGAUACUGUCGGACUAGAGUGCGGAAGAGGCGAGUGGAAUUCCUGGUGUAGCGGUGAAAUGCGCAGAUAUCGGGAGGAACACCUAUGGCGAAGGCAGCUCGCUGGGACGUUACUGACGCUGAGACGCGAAAGCGUGGGGAGCGAACAGG